GCAUUGUUUUUAUAUUUGAUAAUUUUAACUUUAUUUUGUCAUGAUUUAUGGGAAUCGUUUGUCGCUAAUUUUCUUAUAUUCUAACUUUUGUAUUAUCUUGCAGUCAUUUUAUUUAUUUUUUUAUAGCCAUACUAACGCAGCUAAACUAAACUUAGGCCUACCAUUAUUGAUUCACGACGGAGUGGAUCUAAAUCGGAAGAUGCAAUGAUUACUAGAGACCUUUUACUUCAGUUAGGCCAUAGCACAGUACUAAAUGAUUCUUGGUGUGUAAUUAUUGAACCAGAGACGACGGCGUAAACAAAUGGAGGCGAUCGAGAACAAGGAAAUGUUCUUGUUAGAACAAGUGAGCAUCAUGUAAACAAUCUUCAAAUGUUGAUAUCGGCAACUGCUGGAGUGGAACAGUUACACUAAUGUAGUUAAAACUAAAACUAGGCCUUUGAUAUAUUUGAAUUGGAUUGCAAGUUCUGAUAAUUGUUGUUCAUUUUCUGAAUUUAUGACUCUACGAAGGCGUAGGCGAAGCGAGUGUAUCAAGAAGUAAUAAGGCUCAUCCCUUUUUUGAUCUGUGCCAAAAAAAUCCACUGGAUACAAGCCGUCAUCGUCAGCUAUACUAAACUAAAAAUAGAUCAAAUUACUGCUAAUUUAAAUUACUACAAAUUGGAAAUGCGGUGAUGAGUUCUGAAUUUUUUAAAUCGGAACGAAAAUAGCAGAUGUGAUAAACACAAACCAAGGUGUCGAUCACGGAUUAAUAAGUUUUUACAGUUAAUAUAACCAAUGCAGUUAAAAGUAAAUUUAGUAUAGAAUAGGGAUUCAAUUGUAAAUUUAUCGUUUUUUUUACGUUUCUGCUUAUUCGAAUCACCCUGCCGCAGCUUUCGUACCUUGCACUUACUGGAGUGAACAAACUUAAUGUUGAUAUCGGAAACUACUGGAUAGCAACAGAAAAUGGGAACUUAGUUGAGACUGUGGAAUCGAUGACUUUAUAUGUGCUGAAUAUAAACCUUAAAGAAAGAAUUUGUUUUUACUAUUCCAAAGGCAACAUAUUUAACUGUAAUAUAUAUUUGUCAUUUCAACGGCGAUCAUUAAUUGGUAUCACGUUUUUUGCAAAAUCUUAAUUGUGUGUUUUCUUUUUUUUGUCGUCUUAUUUCGUCGACUUAUUCGCUAAUUGUCUACAUCACUUACUCUUCUAUAUACUUGAAAGGUUGUAUUUCGCAGCUAUAUGUUAGCUUUUUACAGUUAUACUAAUGAUACUAAUGUAGUUGAAUUGAACUAAGCAGGCCUUUACUAAAACUUUUGAGCGAAUUCUGACAGCAAAUUCUUACAUUUUUACUGUUCAUUUUCUGAAUCAGACUACGAAAGAAUAUGCGAACGGAGGCGAUAAUGAAGUAAUAAGGCGGAGUCUCUCCAACAUGUGAAAAAACUCAUUACAUUCCAUGUUGAAACAUUUAACAGCAAAUGAAAGCUAUAAAGAGGUGGUCGAAAUUUUACGUUUGAUGUUCGAUAUUGCCACAGCUCGAUGGUAAUGUGGUCACCUCAAUAAACGGACAGGCCUAUCAAGAUUGCAGCAGAUUGCGAGAUUGAAGAAACACGUGAUCACUUAUCACGAACAUAUUUGCACGAAAAUAAUGAAAGAAAAGAGAAAUAUCACUGACUUUUAACAUAACUGAGCUGCGUUUGUGACAUAUGGAGCUGCAUUACUGAAAAUAUCAACAAAGAAAAAAUAUCACAAACCUGGAUCAUGAAA